rnacentral:rRNA from 1 species
GUGGGGGAUAUUGCACAAUGGAGGAAACUCUGAUGCAGCGACGCCGCGUGAGUGAAGAAGUAUUUCGGUAUGUAAAGCUCUAUCAGCAGGGAAGAUAAUGACAGUACCUGACUAAGAAGCCCCGGCUAACUACGUGCCAGCAGCCGCGGUAAUACGUAGGGGGCAAGCGUUAUCCGGAUUUACUGGGUGUAAAGGGAGCGUAGACGGAAUGGCAAGUCUGAAGUGAAAUCCUGCGGCUUAACUGCAGAAUUGCUUUGGAAACUGUCAAUCUGGAGUGUUGGAGAGGUAAGCGGAAUUCCUGGUGUAGCGGUGAAAUGCGUAGAUAUCAGGAAGAACACCGGAGGCGAAGGCGGCUUACUGGACAAUAACUGACGUUGAGGCUCGAAAGCGUGGGAAGCAAACAGGAUUAGAAACCCCUGUAGUCC